rnacentral:lncRNA from 1 species
UUUGCAAGUGCCAAGUGAGCCUGGGCUUCAUAACAAUACCAUCUCUCAAAAAAAAUCAAAAGGCAGGGAUUAUGGCUUGAUGGUAAAAUACUUGACCAUUUUCAAGUCUGUGGAUUCAAUUUCUAACACAGGGGGAAAACGGUGGAUGUAAUGCAUCCAGGUAAAAACACUUUUUACAAAUUAAAAAAAAAAAAAAAAAAAAGAGGCUUUUAGUGCCAGGAAAAUGCCUAUCCUGACUGGCCGACAGAGUGCCAUGUUGAAGACCACAAUGAUAAAUCUAUUGUUUUGUCCCCAGUGGGCUCAGGUGUUUGAGCACUUGGUUAGUCCCAAGCUGGUGCUGUUCUGCAAGGGUCUAACAUUUUUGGAAUUUGAAUCCUAGCUGGUAAAAGGGGUGAAGCUUAAGAAUUUCAGCCCAGUCAAAUUCUGUUGGCUUCUUGACCUAUGAAGUGUGAGGGAUCCAUUUCCCAAGCUUUUGCAGCCUUGAACAUAAACAUCCCUAGCCAUUAUGCUUCCCCCACCAUGACAGGCUGUGUUGCCUGGACUUGGGAACCAUCAGCUGAGGAUUAGGUGUUUACACAUAUGAACCUAUGGAGAUAUUUGAGAUUCGAACCCUAUCAGUUCAUUACCCUGUUAUUCUGGAGCCUCUGGCACAGCAGCAUGUCACAGGGAGGGAAUCUACUCAUUUAAGGACAAGAAUUCAAGAGAGAGAAAGGAGAGGACAGAGUCCCAUAAUCCCCUCUGUGACCUAUCCGUUGCCCUUUGGCCAGACCCUUUUAAAAGUUCCACCACCUACCAAUAGCACCACAGGCUGAGGGCCAAAUCUUGAAUACAAGUACCUAGUUAUAAAGGCUGUAGUUGUUAUUGUGACCUUUUCAGAGGUGAUGGGGAUUUCAAGUGCUGAAUGUUGUCCUCACAGGGCUACACCUGGCUCCUCCUCACUGGCUUACUGUUUUUCUUUGGUGACUAUGAGGGAAAAGUCAAAAUUGUUUCAGCCAAUUGUGGGGCAGUGACACAGUGACCAGGCACAGACAGCCUGGUCCUCAGUCGAGCACAGGCCUUGAACCCCGGUGAUCCUAAGGGACAGCAGGUGUUAGGCCAUGCACUCUGGGCCCCUGACUCCCGUUGCAGCUACAACCUCCCACAUUCCUGCCCCCCACCCCCAGAGAAAUGUGUGGCCAUCAGUCACAUAGGCAAUGCCCCAAGCUCCUGGUUUUCUGUCUGUACUCCACCCCCACAGUUACCUGGCAACUGCCAGGUAUGCUCCUCCCCACAGUUACCUGGCAAAAACCAGGUAGACCCAGCCCACUAUAAAAGGGACUGCUUGCCCCCUACUCCCUCUCUUACUCUCUUAUACUUUUUCUCUUACUCUCUCCUCUCACUCUCCUGUUCCCUCACCCUCCUGUUUCCUCUCCCUUCUGUUCCCUCUCCCUCCACCCCCCCCCCUUCACAUGGCCGAAUCAGGCCUCUACUUCUCUACUCUUCUCCCUCUCUCUGCCUUUCUACAAUAAACGCCUUAAAACCAUGGACUGCCUCUUCUCAUCAGGACCCACCAUGUAGUAGCAAUGGAGCAUGUCUUUAGAGAGAGAUUCCCUGUGCUCCAGGCAGGGCCUCCAACAACCCAAGCUGCCUGCUGAACAAGCCACCAGGCAAAACAAGAACUCUCAUCCUCACAGUAACUUGCCAGAGCUCUCUCCUCCUACCCUUUUUCCCCUCAGCCCCGGGCCAGAGUCCUCCCAUGGGCCCUACUCUGUACUCAGCUCUUCCAAUGCACUCAGCAGCGUUUCUCAUGUCCAAGAUUGAGAACCUGAAGUCCCUGGCCUCUGUGAGGCCCAGGGACGCCAGAAUUCGAUCUUCCAAGGCACCCAGAGGCGUCUGUAGUGCCCGAGAGUCUGAGCCUAACUCUGGUAGGUCUGUGGGGACCUCAGACUGCACCUUCCCCUGAGUGGGGUCCCACAGCUUCUCACAACCCAAUGCCCUCCCGGUGCUGCCAUUGAGUGCUCGCAGUCAAAAGUUUGCGCAUCCUGCCUUGACCAGCAGCGCUAGCCCCGAGUGGACACGGGACCCCAUUUUUACCCCUCUAACAUCUCCCUAUGCUGGGGUAUCAAGCCUCCCUCCCCUCCCACUGACGUCACAUAAGGCAUCCUCUGCUACAUAUGUGUCUGGAGUCCUGGCUUCCUCCAUGUGUACUCUUUGGUUGAUGGUUUAGUCCCUGGGAGCUCUGCGUGGUCCAGUUAACUGAUAUUGCUCUUCCUAUUGGGUUGCAAUCCUCCUUCAGCUCCUUCACUCUUUCCCCUAGCUCUUCCACUGGGUUCCCUGUGAUCAGUCUGAUGGUUGGCUGUGAGUAUCUGCUUCUGUAUUGGUCAGGUGCUGGUAGAGCCUCUCAGGGAACAGCCAUAUCUCAGGCUCCUGUCAGCAAGUACUUCUUGGCAUCAGCAAUAGUGUGGGGGGUUGAUGUCUGCAGAUGGGAUGAAUCCCUAGGUGGGGGCGUAUCUUAUUUUGA